UGGCGGCAGGCCUAACACAUGCAAGUCGAGCGGUAACAUUUCUAGCUUGCUAGAAGAUGACGAGCGGCGGACGGGUGAGUAACGCGUAGAAAUCUACCUAGUAGUGGGGGAUAGCCCAGAGAAAUUUGGAUUAAUACCGCAUACGCCCUACGGGGGAAAGCGGGGGAUCUUCGGACCUCGUGCUAUUAGAUGAGUCUGCGUCGGAUUAGCUUGUUGGUGAGGUAAUGGCUCACCAAGGCGACGAUCCGUAGCUGGUCUGAGAGGAUGACCAGCCACACUGGAACUGAGACACGGUCCAGACUCCUACGGGAGGCAGCAGUGGGGAAUAUUGCACAAUGGGCGCAAGCCUGAUGCAGCCAUGCCGCGUGUGUGAAGAAGGCCUUAGGGUUGUAAAGCACUUUCAGCAGUGAGGAAAGGGGUGUCGUUAAUAGCGCCAUCCUGUGACGUUAACUGCAGAAGAAGGACCGGCUAACUCCGUG
rnacentral:rRNA from 1 species